UUGAGCUAAGCUGAACAGCUUUUCAUUGUUACUGAAAAUUAAAAAACUCAAG
rnacentral:tRNA from 1 species